rnacentral:rRNA from 1 species
GGAUCCAGACUUUGAUUAUGCUCAGGACGAACGCUGGCGGCGCGCCUAACACAUGCAAGUCGAACGAAGUUUACGGGACUGAUCCUUCGGGUGAUCGAACGCAAACUUAGUGGCGGACGGGUGAGUAACACGUGAGCAACCUGCCCUACAGUGGGGGAUAACGUUUUGAAAAGAACGCUAAUACCGCAUAACGUAUCGGAGAGGCAUCUUUCUGAUACCAAAGGAGCAAUCCGCUGUAAGAUGGGCUCGCGUCCGAUUAGCCAGUUGGCGGGGUAACGGCCCACCAAAGCGACGAUCGGUAGCCGGACUGAGAGGUUGAACGGCCACAUUGGGACUGAGACACGGCCCAGACUCCUACGGGAGGCAGCAGUGGGGGAUAUUGCACAAUGGGGGAAACCCUGAUGCAGCGACGCCGCGUGAGGGAAGAAGGUCUUCGGAUUGUAAACCUCUGUCUUCGGUGACGAAAAUGACGGUAGCCGAGGAGGAAGCCACGGCUAACUACGUGCCAGCAGCCGCGGUAAUACGUAGGUGGCAAGCGUUGUCCGGAAUUACUGGGUGUAAAGGGAGCGUAGGCGGGAAUACAAGUUGAAUGUGAAAACUAUGGGCUCAACCCAUAGUUGCGUUCAAAACUGUGUUUCUUGAGUGAAGUAGAGGUAAGCGGAAUUCCUAGUGUAGCGGUGAAAUGCGUAAAUAUUAGGAGGAACACCAGUGGCGAAGGCGGCUUACUGGGCUUUAACUGACGCUGAGGCUCGAAAGCGUGGGUAGCAAACAGGAUUAGAUACCCUGGUAGUCCACGCUGUAAACGAUGAUUACUAGGUGUGGGGGGACUGACCCCUUCCGUGCCGGAGUUAACACAAUAAGUAAUCCACCUGGGGAGUACGACCGCAAGGUUGCAACUCAAAGGAAUUGACGG